GAAUUUACAUAAAAGCCGUCUGUCAGAAUAGCCUUGGGAAUGUAGGAGUAAAUGACCACUAAAACACAGCUGAACGAAAGAAAUGAGGAAAUCUCUUUUAAAAGAUAUUAAUAAUUGCAAGUGGGAUUAGAGCCUUUAAACACUUUUAUAUUUAACUGAGCAAAAUUGAGGCAUUAGUUGUCCUACAAACUCUCUCUCUCUCUCUCUCUCUCUCUCUCUCUCUCACACACACACACACACACACACACACACACCAAAAAACUUUUUUCAAUUCUAAGAAAAUAAAGAAAACUAUGCCAGGCCCCAAAUUUCCUUCUAGCUUUGCCUCUGGUUGUCUACUCCUGAUUAAAAAAAAAAAAAAAAAAAAAAAAAAAAAAAAACCUGAGUCACUCAGAGCUCUUCAAUAUCAGUGUGAGAAGUGUGAGAGUCUCUUGUGACCUAAAAGGCUCAGUCCUUCACUAGUUGACAAGUGUUAGUGCCAGCCUGUCCAUUCCAAGGACUCAGCAGCCCUCCAAGACUCAAGGGACAAGAUAGAGACGCUCUGAUGAUGACAACUUCCAGCCUAGGCGCCAACGUAACUAAUCGUUUGAGAUCCUUUGCUAACAUUUUCCCAAAUGCAAGAAGUUUUAAAGCAAGUAUAUUGGCUACACAAUAGUUCCAAGGAGAAAGGAUUCCUCUCCCUGAAAUAGAGAAAAACCUUGUGUUGGGUAGAAUUUUUAGAAGUGGUAAGACAGCAUAUGAGGCAGUGCCCCAGCAAGAAGAGUACCUGAAUCAAACAUUGGUGACCUGCCAGCUACAGUGAGGAGUCCAAGUAGGACCAACAGCUUGACACCUUGGUAGGUUCCAGUCUAUUUGCCAACAGCCACCCCCAACUUAAUAUUAGUUUUAUUGUUUUCCUUUUAUUUCAAUUAAAGAUAUUUUAGGUCUUUCUAGAUGUGGAAAGCCAGCCCCAAGGUAUGAUUUAGGAUAAUGAGGUGGGGAGGGGGUUAGUUAGUGAGUAAAAAGAAUUGAAUUGCUCUAGAAAAUGAAGUUGUGAACAUUUCUAUCCAGGACUUGCUAGAAAGAAAAGUUUGUAAGAAGGAGCCAAGAUUUGCAAUGGGGGCUGAGGGAUGAAGGUUGACCAGUUGACCUCUCUGUGGUGAUCUGCGCUUUUCUAAAACACUGAAUCUGAGUUCCCGAUUCAGUCUUAAAGGUUUUCUGCAGCCAUUCCUUCCUGUGCUCUGUCGCUGUUAAAUGUUGCUUCCCUGAAGUGAUGCUUUCAUGUCUGGCAUUUGUGAUUUGUGGGAAAUUGAAGGGGGAGGGGCAGUCUCCCUGAGAUAUCAGCAUAAUGUGAUAAAAAGACAAUCU
rnacentral:lncRNA from 1 species